UUUUCCACUGCGACAACAAUGUUGGACUUGGUCAAAAUAAACGCGCGAGUAAUUUGUUUCUUAAUUUGUAAGUCCGUUUUUCUUCUCUUAUGUGCGAGCUUCUGUGUUUAUUAUUGAAUCUGAGUGAUUGAUCAAUUAGAUGCAAUUUCUAUAGCAGAAACCUCGGCAGAAACCUAAAAUGGUUGAUAAUAGCGUUCAUUAACGUUUGCUAAGCAUCAUAGACAAAAUUCACCUCCAAGAACAACCAGUACUCUCGCUAGUCAGCCGGCUGAGUAUAAGAAAUGCUUCGGUCAGAAAAUGCAAUAGUUUAUCCGCAAUUUCCCAUUUAAAACGCA